GAUGAACGCUGGCGGCGUGCUUAACACAUGCAAGUCGAACGAAGCACUUGAAGUUUUUCGGAAUGGAAAGUGACUGAGUGGCGGACGGGUGAGUAACGCGUGGGUAACCUGCCUCAUACAGGGGGAUAACAGUUAGAAAUGACUGCUAAUACCGCAUAAGCGCACAGUACCGCAUGGUACGGUGUGAAAAACUCCGGUGGUAUGAGAUGGACCCGCGUCUGAUUAGCUAGUUGGUGAGGUAACGGCUCACCAAGGCGACUAUCAGUAGCCGACUGGAGGGGGUGAACGGCAACAUUGGGACGCAGACACGGCCCAAACUCCUACGGGAGGCAGCAGUGGGGAAUAUUGCACAAUGGGCGAAAGCCUGAUGCAGCGACGCCGCGUGAACGAAGAAGUAUUUCGGUAUGUAAAGUUCUAUCAGCAGGGAAGAAAAUGACGGUACCUGACUAAGAAGCACCGGCUAAAUACGUGCCAGCAGCCGCCGUAAGAC
rnacentral:rRNA from 1 species